ACCUUGCGUAUUUUGGAGGUACACAAGCAAGUAGACUGUGGCAGCUGAUACACACCUAAGAAAGUGCUUCAGCUUUGUUAAAAGAGCAGAGGAGGGUGCCCACAGAGACCAACUCCUUCACUCACAGAAGGAAAUCAUCAGAGUGCACACGGACUGUUUCCAAAAGGGAGAUGGCGGUAUAGUUUUGCAGGUGACUGAGUGUAUUUUGAGACUUGGGCCAGUGUCGCCUAUUUAUGUUUUCUGUCAGAAUGUAAUAGAUAGUUGGCUUGGUUUUGUCCUCAUGCUGGGGCUUUGCCAGGGGCUGGAACAUGUCACAUCCAGAACUCUGUGCUGCUGCAGUUCUUUGUGAUACUGGGCUGCAUGCUGUGAUUAUUAGCAGGAAACUCAAGGAGUAAGGGGAGAUUCUGAUUUUCUGUGCUACCAUGUCUUUAGAUGUAGAGGUCUAGUUUUAGCUAAUUUCUAUUGAAGGUAUGUAAAAUAAAAUAGAGUAUCUAAGAAAGAAAUGUUAUACGUGAAAGAAACAGUUAUUUUACAUAAACCACUAUUUGCAUAGGUAAAAGACAUAAUAAAGAAGGUGCCAGGAGGACACAAACUGUAUUUAAGACAUGCCUUACUUGCAAGGAAGACCCUUUUACACAUCACAUCAACAAACAGAGAGAAAGUGAAAAAAUUAGGGUAUGUCACUGAAAAGGAACUUCCUGACAGCAUCUAAAAUAUAUUGCUCAGACUGAAAAAUUCUUCAGACCUUUAGGGUUAAUGUAGAUACUUCUUGAUUAAAGAAAAAUGUUGUAACAUGAGGCUGUUAAGAAUUUUACACCUCUAGGAAAAAGUGACAUGUCUGGUGGUUCUAGAGCCAUCAAUACCUCCUUCCUGGGUCAGAGAAAGAACAUCUGCUUGCUGAAUCUCCCAUGUCUUUCAUAGUAGUAAUAUAAUUCUUGCUUCCAUGGCUUGUGAGAUCUCCUGGUAUCACACUUUACAAAUGCACUUUACUACAGCUACAGUUUUGUAUUUUGAGCUGAAUACUGUAUUUCAGACAGAAAGCACCAGCUGUGCUAGUUCAGAUACACCGAGAGUGGCUGAGCAGUCACCGGUUUCAGCAGAACAUCAGUCAGCAGAGUGCAACAUCCCAGCAGGGAAGCUAAUAUAUUUUCAUGCUGCUUAUGCAGAGCAGGAACACUGCAGGCUCACAGGGUCUGAAAAAGUCAGGUACAACCCUAUGUUCCUGAGAAACAUGAAUUAAUUCAUUUAGAAACUACUGCAAUAGGAAACAUUACAAUAUAUCACACUGACUUCCCUACCUUGGUGAGUAACUUUCCUCUCAGGUUGUUGCAGUUCUCAUUUGCGGCAGCUUUGGACUGGACCAUGCUGGUGAUCACGCGUGGAGGGUCAGCACCUAUUUGAUACUGUAUGCUGCCAUUUCCAAGAAAAUACCUAUUGAAAAGAGAGGAUUUGCAUAAAUCGAAGAUCCUAUAAGUGGCCUCUCUUAUGAAUGACAAGAUUUGCAGCCACGGUGAUGAUGGAAGAUGCCCAGUGGCACGGCCACACUCCCUUCCUGUGACACGGAGCACACGCCGAAUAAAGGGACAUCUGAACUGUUGCGUAAAGACACAGAGGCCAGAGGAGAUGGAGAAAGAUAUGAAUGAAUGGAAGAACUGAAAAGGUCAAUCGAUGGAGUUCAUCUGAGUUACCUGUGGCAGAAUUUGCUCCAUGUUUUACAUGCUGGCACAGGCACCACUUUCUGCAGCAGCCUGAUCUCAGUCUCACUGAACUCAGGAGCUCAUUGUCCCUCGGCAUGUCACAGAUCGCAGCACGGCCCUGUCUUGGUUGCUGGAAUCACAGGUUUCAAGCCCAGCAGAAUUUGAUCUAUGUAGCUAGUCUAUUUGACCUGUCAAAGAUAAAAAAAUUAACCCAUAAUUCCUGUACUGAUGGUGAUAACUUCUGCUCCAGGUAAGGCAUAUCUUUCAAAACAAGCUCAAAAUCUUAAUGUAAAGACUUUAUUCCACCCUAGUCGUGAAAACUUGCUGUACCCUCAGAUAGAUUGUUCCUCUGGGUAGUUACCACGUCUUUUAAACAUUGCUGUGUCCUUGCACUCAUAUGCUUAUAUUUCUGUAUUUGUCCUGGAGAGCUUUAUUAUGGCACAGUAAAGGCCCGUGAUCAAUUCACCAGCACUUUCUGUGAAGUAAAGGGAGACCAUGGGGUGGGAGGUGUCAUGGAACUUUAUUGCAUGACCUAAUAUUUGAUUGUGUCGGGGUUUUAUGAUGACCUUAGUUUAAACAAUGGGAAAAUAACUGUUAGUUACAGUACAGUGUCUGUAGUCCAGGGCUCCAAGAUAGUAGCUAAUUAAGCUCCAUAGCAUUAGGGAGAGGAAAGGGAUGCCUUAAUCCAUAAGAAACUUGUACAACUCAUAUUGCAGGUACUGUAUUUGUUUUACAGCUGAUGGAGGGGACAAGAGCAGCUAUAUGAUUGGGUUGUGUGACAGUUUGUCUGCCUCCUGACCCCAUGGCUGUCUUGCGAAUAGUCUGUCCAGAAAGGCUGUCUGGAUAUGCACAAAAAGCUGGUGUGUCUGUGAAAGUGUAAAACAGCAUGUUGAGGCUCACACAGCCCAUGUACCACAGGAGGCUUGGUCCCGAGGGCAGCCACUGAAUUACCUUGACUCUGGAGCAGAGAUCUGCUCAGGGAGGUCAACUUUUCCAGUGCCCAUUCCUCACGUAUGGUCAUUUUUGAUUGAGAUAAUACUUACUCAUCUCUCCAGAAGAAUCAAUACUAUAUCCUUUGUCCCAGUUUGGAUUUAACCAGAAGAAACAGCCUCUUCUGGAAUUUAAGUCCCAAAUAAUUGUCCAAAAUCAUGUUCAAAGAUAACCAUACAAGCACCAGCGCCACUCAGGAUUUCCAUUCUGAUUGUUUCCUUUUUCUUCAACAUGUUUUAAACUGAUUAGAAAUUUUGUCUUUUGAUUCACGGAGUAAAUCUUAGAAGACUUGACUCAAACAUUCAAGAGUAUUGCAGGUUUACAGAGGCCUUCGAAACUGAAGAAAGCUAUGAACUCACUAAGUCUGUGCUCUACUCUGCUGGCUUUUAUAUGUGUCAGGAGAAACAUUAUACAGCAAAAUAUAAGUGCCCUAAAUGAAGGUACUUCCAUGUAGAGUGUCUCUGGCUUAAGUCAUAAUGUUGAAAAGUGAACAAGAAUAAUUGAAUUCAAAUUUCUCAUAUUAUUUAAAAACAGAGCAACAAUGACAGUGAACAGACAGAUGCAUAGUUUGUGAAACACCUCUGGUUUUGCCUUUUUUCUGUUUACCUUUCUCUUUUAAAUUCUCAAAUUAAAACAGUUGAAAAUGAUACAUACUGACAUGUAGAAACAGCUGACUUUAUGGUGCCUAAAUAAUUGUCUAUAAAAAUAUCACUUACCAUUGCCAAGUAUCUUCUUAUUUAAGUCCACUGUUAUCAUGCCUUCUUGGAUGUGAAAUAUGCAGCAGAGUCAGUUCCCAGUGUGUUAAACACUUGACAAAAUAAUAAACGCAGUGGAACUCCACAGUGUUUGGAUAUUUGACUGUAACUCCUAAGCAUGCGAAGAGACGACUCAAUAUAACAACUUUUCCUCUGCAGAAAAUGCCUUGCUAUUUGCCAGCAAAUCCUUAAUGCUUUAGAUUGGGUAUUUCCAACUACCGCCCUACUUGCUAGGCAGAUGUGUAUAAAAGAGAUGUUAUUUCACUGAAUCAACCACUGAGAUCGUAACCCUUUUCCUGUACCACAAACAGAAAUGCAAAACCUCAGACUUUCCUUUUGGACUUUUACUGACUUGUGUUUGUUGUAAGAAAGCAAAACACAACUAGUCCGAGGGCUAAUAGAUGGAAAAUGUGCUAAAAUGUUUUAGAUCGUCUCAUUGCUUCUCAUUCCUGCAAUUCAUUGGUUAACUGGCUCGUGCUGUGUUUAUGUAGUUGCAUGGUACAAAUACAACACCUAAACUUCUUGCCCAAAGUUGAAAUGAUUCAUUUAUGACUUUUUACGCCCCCCUCAAAAAAAAAAAAAGAAGAAAGAAAACACACAGUGCUCAUUUAACCCAAGUGAGUGAAAACGCCUUUCAUAAGGUCUGCAAGGGCUUUGGGAGGUUUUUCUUUGGUGAAUAAAGUCUGUGUACUUGAGGAAAGAGUGUUGUCUGAGGACGGCAGAAGUCAAGCUAAAGCAAACAGACACAAACUAGGAUCCUUUUGCUGUAUGGAAAUGAGAUAACAGCAAAGGAGGUGCAAAUGUUACAUCAGUUCACUUGAGAGGGAUUCAUUGUUUUGGGGAACGGAGUGAAGGCAGAAGGAGAGAGGAGGUAUUUUUACAAGGGUUUGUAAGACUCUGGUAGUGCUUUGCUCUCUGGAAUUACAUCAUUGGUCUAAGUUUAUGUCUUUCUGUGAGGCAAUUACUCACCUUAAAUAGAUAAUAUGUAGGCUUUCCAUCUUCUGGAUACUUACAAAUAUUACUUAAUUAAAUGUUAUGGCCACAGUGGAGAAAGCACAAAGGAAAUCAUGAGUGAUUGCCAUACUAAGAAGUGGAAAACAGGACUGAGUAAAGACAUUUCCUCUGCUCCUUUUUCUAGAUUGGAGAGAACAGGGCUAUGUGACAAAUCACUAUUCCAUAGGAUGUACCACCCUGAUUUCUGAUACCAGCUGUGGAUCCAGUUACUGUCAGAAAGAGAGGAUUAUGAUGGGCAAUGCUUGUUCUCCUGCCUGAGUCCCAGCCAUAAUGAAACCAUCCCAGCACAACCCUGAUGGGACAGUGUUAUUCUGCCUUCGUUCAUCAUCCUCUCCAGAUGGGGUAUUAGAAUUAGUCAAAUUGUAGCACUAGCAGCUUGUUUCAGAACCACAGCUGGGAUCAGCAUGUCUAGACUAGCACUGAUUUAUUCCUGGCUUUCAGACCUAUGUGCAUGCUACUAUUCCAUGUGCUUCCUGUUAGAGAGGUAAUAAUGCCAUUUCACAACGUAACUUUAAUUUUUCUUAUUUUUUUCCCCUCUCCUUUUUAUUGUAAUUAGGAUUUAUUUUGCUUGUGUGGGAAAAUAUCCUGCCUCUUCCCUGGACAGGACUCCUGCCAGUUCUGCUGGAACAGAGCAAACUUCCAGACCGACAAAAUAAAGUUCACAAAGGAAACAGUUAAAUUUUCUGACUGCAUUCACUGUCACAAAAAAUGCUAAACACAUUUGAAAGUUAUAUAAAACUGCAUCAGUUCAUAUUUUCCCCUUCUGGUUUCACAGCCCGCUACAGCAAAAGGACCUUGUGACAUGUCCAGGCUCUCAAGAGCUUAGUAAUAAAAAUAAAAAUCCUCAGCAGAAAACAACACUCCACAGCCUCCCACUGCUGGCCAAAUGAGUUUCCCAUUUUCCUCACUUAUCCUCAGACUAAACAAUGUUAAAUUUACAAAUCUGACAUCUAUUUAUAGCAAGCAUUCUACCCCAGGAAGCACAGAGGUUGGUGUAUAUCAUUGUCCAUAAUCCACAGGACAGCUUUCAACCUGACAUGUCAAAUAAUUAGGGGAGAAACCUCCUGCCUUAAUUAACAUCUAAGCAAUAUAUGCACUGAGGCAUACUAUAGCCCUCAGCUGGGUGGUGUGCAUGCGUGGGGUGGCGUUCCUUUGCUGUAAAUUAAUCUCUGAUUUUACUUUUUCUCGUUUGCCCUCAAUAGUAAUUGAUAAUGUCAACAGCAUUGUGCACUUCUAACAGCAGUCUGCAGAGCAUGGAGAAGCAACCUGCAAAUUAAUGGGUGUCCAACAGCGCUGAUAAUCCCGACAGCAGAUGCUGAAGUAACUAAGCUGGUGAACUGUGCCUGCCCUGGGGGGAAAUUGGGCUACAAACCGUGUGGGGAGCAAUGGGCUGACUGGUGUGAGACUGUGGAAGCAGCAAAGGGAAGUUCAGAUGUGUAGGUGCAGGGCACAAGGUGAAGAAUGGGAUUAAAGGAGGAAAGGUCUCAAAUUCGGGUGUUAGGCUGGAUUUGAGGAGGUUGGUAAAAACUGAGUAGAAGAUGCUGCGUAUAGGCUGAGCCUAAAGUGGGUAAGAUGUGCUGGGCUGGGCCCUGCAGGCUGAGCUCAGGGGAGAGCAGAGAAGAGGUUCAGUGAGGAGCUGAUCCCUUCCCUUUUCUCUGGAGCAGCAGGGAAAUGACGUUCAGCCCAUCCACAGUGUGUGUGCCGCCUGCCAUCUGUUCAUCUCCACAGAUAUACAAAGGUCAGUGGAUCCUACUGUCCUGUUUACAAACUGAUGACCAGGGGAGCAGAGACAUUGUUCAGAGAAAAAAACCCCUUACUUUGAAGGGUGUUACAAUUCUCACACCUUUAAAAUUCUUUCUAUAUCCCUAAAUCCUUUUUAAUUCUCUUUUCCAGGUGAUUUCUGUUUCUUUUCCGAUAGGAAAGCAAAAGAAACUAAUCUUAAAAUGAAAAAUACUUUAUUAAUGUAUUUGAAGGUAUUCUUAUUUCCGGUGUUACUCUCCAAUCCAUCUUUAACAUAGCCUGACAUCUUGUUUGCUUUUUUGACCACGACUGUGCACUGAGUAGAAGUUUCCACUAAGCUGUCCACGGUAACGCCUAGAUCUUUUUCUUGAGUGAUUUUGCAAACCAUCAGUGUAUAUGAAUAGUUCAAAUUGUUCCUUUCAAACACAUUACUUCACACUUAACCUACGCUAAAUUUCAGUUGCCGCCUUGUUGCCCAGUCCUUUCCUUUAGGGUUGUUUUUUUUU